AUGAUCACCCGAGGACGACUGCUUGGUCACGUCAGAAACAUCCCAUCUGCAAAACUACAAACCAGUUACUAAAAGCUGCAGGCACCAGGUUUUAGGAGAAUACUGGACUGUACACACAGGGGGGCAUUGAAAACCACCACAGCCAGUCCGGCAAUACUGCAAGGCCACGAUGGACAAGAACGCACAGCUGUAAAAAGAAUACAACGUCCUGUAAGUGCUUUGCCCACGUCCGCUUCACAGGAAAUGAUGGAGAGGAGAGGACCAUCCGUCAUCGGAUCUCCCCCCCCCCCCCCCGAGUCCUCGUGUGUUGAGGCAGAAGGCAAACAGAAAGGGCGCACUCCUGACCAAA